GAUGAACGCUGGCGGCGUGCCUAAUACAUGCAAGUAGAACGCUGAAGCUUGGUGCUUGCACCGAGCGGAUGAGUUGCGAACGGGUGAGUAACGCGUAGGUAACCUGCCUCUUAGCGGGGGAUAACUAUUGGAAACGAUAGCUAAUACCGCAUAAAAGUCGACAUCGCAUGAUGUUGACUUGAAAGGUGCAAUUGCAUCACUAAGAGAUGGACCUGCGUUGUAUUAGCUAGUUGGUGAGGUAACGGCUCACCAAGGCGACGAUACAUAGCCGACCUGAGAGGGUGAUCGGCCACACUGGGACUGAGACACGGCCCAGACUCCUACGGGAGGCAGCAGUAGGGAAUCUUCGGCAAUGGGGGCAACCCUGACCGAGCAACGCCGCGUGAGUGAAGAAGGUUUUCGGAUCGUAAAGCUCUGUUGUAAGAGAAGAACGAGUGUGAGAGUGGAAAGUUCACACUGU
rnacentral:rRNA from 1 species